rnacentral:rRNA from 1 species
CGGAAGGUCCGGGCGUUAUCCGGAUUUAUUGGGUUUAAAGGGGAGCGUAGGCCGCCUCUUAAGCGUGUUGUGAAAUGCGGGUGCUCAACAUCCGACUUGCAGCGCGAACUGGGGGGCUUGAGUGCGCCGAAAGUAGGCGGAAUUCGUGGUGUAGCGGUGAAAUGCUUAGAUAUCACGAAGAACUCCGAUUGCGAAGGCAGCUUACUGUAGCGCAACUGACGCUGAUGCUCGAAAGCGUGGGGUAUCGAACAGGAUU